rnacentral:rRNA from 1 species
CCUACGGGAGGCUGCAGUGGGGGAUAUUGCACAAUGGGGGAAACCCUGAUGCAGCGACGCCGCGUGAGUGAAGAAGUAUUUCGGUAUGUAAAGCUCUAUCAGCAGGGAAGAACAUGACCGUACCUGACCAAGACACCCCCGCCAACUACGUGCCAGCCGCCGCGGUAAUACGUAGGGGGCCAGCGUUAUCCGGAUUUACGGGGUGUAAAGGGAGCGUAGACGGUUAUGUAAGUCUGUAGUGAAAGCCUGGGGCCCAACCCCGGGAAUGCUUUGGAAACUGUGUAACUGGAGUACAGGAGAGGCAGGCGGAAUUCCUGGUGUAGCGGUGAAAUGCGUAGAUAUCAGGAGGAACACCGGCGGCGAAGGCGACCUGCUGGACUGAAACUGACGUUGAGGCUCGAGAGCGUGGGGAGCAAACAGGAUUAGAGACCCUGGUAGUC